UACGUAGGGGGCAAGCGUUGUCCGGAUUUAUUGGGCGUAAAGAGCGUGUAGGCGGCCAGGUAGGUCCGUUGUGAAAACUCGAGGCUCAACCUCGAGCUGUCGAUGGAAACCAUCUGGCUAGAGUCCGGAAGAGGAGAGUGGAAUUCCCGGUGUAGCGGUGAAGUGCGCAGAUAUCGGGAAGAACACCCGUGGCGAAGGCGGCUCUCUGGGACGGUACUGACGCUGAGACGCGAAAGCGUGGGGAGCGAACAGG
rnacentral:rRNA from 1 species